CGGGGAUUAGCUCAGAUGGCUAGAGUACUUGGUUUGGGACCAAGGGGUCGCGAGUUCGAGUCCCGCAUCCCCGA
rnacentral:tRNA from 1 species